rnacentral:rRNA from 1 species
GACGAACGCUGGCGGCGUGCUUAACACAUGCAAGUCGAACGCUGAAGCUUGGUGCUUGCACUGUGUGGAUGAGUGGCGAACGGGUGAGUAAUACGUGAGUAACCUGCCCUUGACUCUGGGAUAAGCCUGGGAAACUGGGUCUAAUACUGGAUACGACAUGCCACUGCAUGGUGGUGUGUGGAAAGGGUUUUACUGGUUUUGGAUGGGCUCACGGCCUAUCAGCUUGUUGGUGGGGUAAUGGCCUACCAAGGCGACGACGGGUAGCCGGCCUGAGAGGGUGACCGGCCACACUGGGACUGAGAAACGGCCCAGACUCCUACGGGAGGCAGCAGUGGGGAAUAUUGCACAAUGGGCGGAAGCCUGAUGCAGCGACGCCGCGUGAGGGAUGACGGCCUUCGGGUUGUAAACCUCUUUCAGCACGGAAGAAGCGAGAGUGACGGUACGUGAAGAAGAAGCGCCGGCUAACUACGUG